rnacentral:rRNA from 1 species
AUGUUUGAUCACACCACCCUGAGAAUGCCUGAUCUUGUUGGAUAAAUUAAGCAGGUUUGGACCUGGUUAGUACUUGGAUGGGGCACUUCUUGGGAAUACCAGGUACUUUCAUC